AGCAGUAGCCGCGGGAAUACGAGGGGGGCAAGCGUUGUUCGGAAUUAUUGGGCGUAAAGGGUGCGUAGGCGGUUUGGCAAGUUUGGUGUGAAAUCUUCGGGCUCAACUCGAAGUCUGCAUCGAAAACUGCCGGGCUUGAGUAUGGGAGAGGUGAGUGGAAUUUCCGGUGUAGCGGUGAAAUGCGUAGAUAUCGGAAGGAACACCUGUGGCGAAAGCGGCUCACUGGACCAUAACUGACGCUGAGGUACGAAAGCAUGGGGAGCAAACAGGAUUAGAUACCCCUGUAGUCCCUGUCUCUUAUAA
rnacentral:rRNA from 1 species